CUUAGGAAUCUGCAGAAAAGGCCUUGAAGAAAAUGAAAACUGACAUCAAUGAGAAUGGCGAUGCAAGCGAUGGAGAUGCAAGCGAUGGCGAUGGUGGUGUAAUUGCGAUUGACAAAAACGGAAAUCUUGGUAUAGCCUUCACUACUCCGAUGAUGGUUUGGGCAAGUUUCCAGGAUAACGUCCCAAAGUCUGGUAUGAGAAAAGAUGAAGUGUAGGCCUACGUUGGCCAACUAUAAAUAAUAAAUAUAAAUAACGGACUAUAUAGUGGCACCAUAUAUAUGGCACCAUGUGGUCGGAUGACAAGGUGUAUAUAUUUACCUUGUGCUGCUUUAGUAUCGUCCACCUUGCGUUGUGAUUAUACUGCAGCUUAGAACUUUUUAACUCAAGAACUGAUCGUUUCCAUAUGCUAUAACAAGUAUUUUACUCCAGCUAUAUGCAACAUUUAGGAUUAUCACUAGUUUUCAAUUGUAAAUUGUAUUAAUGUAACUUCUAAUUUACUAUCUUCAUGCAGUUGGCAAACUUCGUAGUAUAACAUUAUAUUUCAACGAUUCAACCCGGCAUGGC